rnacentral:rRNA from 1 species
AGUGAACGCUGGCGGUAGGCCUAACACAUGCAAGUCGAACGGAGUGGCGGACGGGUGAGGAAUACAUCGGAAUCUACUCUGUCGUGGGGGAUAACGUAGGGAAACUUACGCUAAUACCGCAUACUAUCAGAUGAGCCUAGGUCGGAUUAGCUAGGUGGUGGGGUAAAGGCCUACCAAGGAGACGAUCCGUAACUGGCCUGAGAGGAUGAUCAGUCACACGGGAACUGAGACACGGUCCAGACUCUGACGGGAGGCAGCAGUGGGGAAUAUUGGACAAGGGGCGAAAGCUGGAUCCAGCCAUGCCGCGUGUGGGAAGAAGGUCUUCGGAUUGUAAAGCACUUUAAGUUGAGAGGCGUUACAAACAGAAUAAGCACCGGCUAACUUCGUGCCAGCAGCCGCGGUAAUAC